rnacentral:rRNA from 1 species
UACAGAGGGUGCGAGCGUUGUCCGGAAUCACUGGGCGUAAAGGGCGCGUAGGUGGUGGCUUAAGCGUGCGGUGAAAGCUCGGAGCUCAACUCCGAGUCGGCCGUGCGAACUGGGCUCACUGGAGCAUAGUAGAGGCAGGUGGAAUUCCGGGUGUAGCGGUGGAAUGCGUAGAGAUCCGGAAGAACACCGGUGGCGAAAGCGGCCUGCUGGGCUAUGGCUGACACUGAGGCGCGACAGCGUGGGGAGCAAACAGG